GCUCAUAGCGUAUAUUAAAGUUGUUGCAGUUAAAAAGCUCGUAGUUGAAUUUCGGGAUCAAUAUAUCGGUCGUGCCAUUGGUACGUACUGGUAUCAUUGUUUCCUCCUUUCUGACAAACCAUGAUGCCAUUAAUUUGGUGUUAUGGGAAUUUAGGACUGUUACUUUGAAAAAAUUAAAGUGUUUAAACCAGGCC
rnacentral:rRNA from 1 species